GACGUAGGUGGCGAACGUUAUCCGGAUUUAUUGGGGUUAAUGGGUGCGUAGGCGGGCUAUUAAGUCAGUGGUGAAAGCUCCGAGCUUAACUCGGAAACUGCCAUUGAUACUGACGGUCUUGAGUACAUUUGAGGUGGGCGGAAUGUGUCAUGUAGCGGUGAAAUGCUUAGAUAUGACACAGAACACCGAUUGCGAAGGCAGCUCACUAAACUGUAACUGACGCUGAGGCACGAAAGCGUGGGGAGCAAACAGG
rnacentral:rRNA from 1 species